rnacentral:misc_RNA from 1 species
UUUCCGUAGGUGAACCUGCGGAAGGAUCAUUAUUGUAUAACCGAGGUGCGAGGGCUGUCGCUGACCCGAAAGGUCGUGCACGCCCGAGUGCCCUCACACACAUCCAUCUCACCCCUAUGUGCACCACCGCGUGGGUCCCCCUUUGGCUUGUUCGGAGGGGGGCUUACGUUUUCACACAAACUUUGUAUGCAGUGUAGAAUGUAUUUUUUGUUUUUGCGAUCACGCAAUCAAUACAACUUUCAACAGCGGAUCUCUUGGCUCUCGCAUCGAUAAAGAACGCAGC